rnacentral:rRNA from 1 species
GACGAACGCUGGCGGCGUGCCUAACACAUGCAAGUCGAACGGAACUGUUUUGAAAGAUUUCUUCGGAAUGAAUUUGAUUUAGUUUAGUGGCGGACGGGUGAGUAACGCGUGAGUAACCUGCCUUCAGGAGGGGAAUAACAUUCUGAAAAGAAUGCUAAUACCGCAUGACAUAUCGGAACCACAUGGUUUUGAUAUCAAAGAUUUUAUCGCUUGAAGAUGGACUCGCGUCCGAUUAGUUAGUUGGUGAGGUAACGGCUCACCAAGACCGCGAUCGGUAGCCGGACUGAGAGGUUGAACGGCCACAUUGGGACUGAGACACGGCCCAGACUCCUACGGGAGACAGCAGUGGGGGAUAUUGCGCAAUGGGGGCAACCCUGACGCAGCAACGCCGCGUGAAGGAUGAAGGUUUUCGGAUUGUAAACUUCUUUUAUUAAGGACGAAAAAUGACGGUACUUAAUGAAUAAGCUCCGGCUAACUACGUG